GCUGGGCAUGGUGGCUCAUGCCUGUAAUCCCAGCACUUUGGGAGGCUGAGGUGGGUGGAUCACCUGAGGUCAGGAGUUCGAAGCUAGCCUGGCCGACAUGGCGAAACCCCAUCUCUA
rnacentral:SRP_RNA from 1 species